UACGUAGGGUGCAAGCGUUGUCCGGAAUUAUUGGGCGUAAAGAGCUCGUAGGCGGUUUGUCGCGUCGCUGUGAAAACCUGGGGCUCAACCCCGGGCCUGCAGCCGAUACGGGCAAACUAGAAUUCGGUAGGGGAGACUGGAAUUCCUGGUGUAGCGGUGAAAUGCGCAGAUAUCGGGAAGAACACCCGUGGCGAAGGCGGCUCUCUGGGACGGUACUGACGCUGAGACGCGAAAGCGUGGGGAGCGAACAGG
rnacentral:rRNA from 1 species